rnacentral:tRNA from 1 species
GCGGACGUGACGGAAUUGGAAUACGUGUAGCGUUCAGAACGCUAUGCCAGAAAUGGCUUGUGGGUUCAAGUCCCACCGUCCGCA